rnacentral:rRNA from 1 species
UAGCUUGGGAAUCUGGCUUAUGGAGGGGGAUAACUACGGGAAACUGUAGCUAAUACCGCGUAGUAUCGAGAGAUUAAAGUGUGGGACCUUCGGGCCACAUGCCAUAGGAUGAGCCCAAGUGGGAUUAGGUAGUUGGUGAGGUAAAGGCUCACCAAGCCGACGAUCUCUAGCUGGUCUGAGAGGAUGACCAGCCACACUGGGACUGAGACACAGCCCAG